AUGCUCACUUCGGCAGCACAUGUACUAAAAUUGGAAUGAUACUGAGACUAUUAGCAUGGCCCCUGCACAAGGAUGACAUGCAAAUUCAUGAAGUGUUCAUAUUUUUU
ensembl:snRNA U6 U6 spliceosomal RNA